GAUGAACGCUGGCGGCGUGCCUAAUACAUGCAAGUCGAGCGAACAGAUAAGGAGCUUGCUCCUUUGACGUUAGCGGCGGACGGGUGAGUAACACGUGGGUAACCUACCUAUAAGACUGGAAUAACUCCGGGAAACCGGGGCUAAUGCCGGAUAACAUUUAGAACCGCAUGGUUCUAAAGUGAAAGAUGGUUUUGCUAUCACUUAUAGAUGGACCCGCGCCGUAUUAGCUAGUUGGUAAGGUAACGGCUUACCAAGGCAACGAUACGUAGCCGACCUGAGAGGGUGAUCGGCCACACUGGAACUGAGACACGGUCCAGACUCCUACGGGAGGCAGCAGUAGGGAAUCUUCCGCAAUGGCGAAAGCCUGACGGAGCAACGCCGCGUGAGUGAUGAAGGUCUUCGGAUCGUAAAACUCUGUUAUUAGGGAAGAACAAAUGUGUAAGUAACUGUGCACGUCUUGACGGUACCUAAUCAGAAAGCCACGGCUAACUACGUG
rnacentral:rRNA from 1 species